rnacentral:rRNA from 1 species
UACAGAGGUCCCAAGCGUUGUUCGGAUUCAUUGGGCGUAAAGGGUGCGUAGGCGGCGCGGUAAGUCGGAUGUGAAAUCUCCGGGCUCAACCCGGAAAUGGCAUUGGAAACUACCUUGCUGGAGGAUUUGAGGGGGGAUUGGAAUACUUGGUGUAGCAGUGAAAUGCGUAGAUAUCAAGUGGAACACCAGUGGCGAAGGCGAAUCCCUGGAAAAUACCUGACACUGAGGCACGAAAGCUAGGGGAGCAAACAGG